AGAAGUAAUCCAAAUGAAAAAUUUGCAUAUGUGGGAGGAGAUAUGUCCAAAUAAGCAGUAUCUGACCUUGCCAUGACCGGAAAAUAAAAAAUCAUUGCUCAAAAGUGAAAGUAAAAAAUUCGAAGGCCAAUAUUUUGCAGAAAGAAGGCAGAUUCACUUGAAAUUUAGCUUUUAAUAAAUCAAUUAUUGUGUUUUUUAAUAAAUUCUAACCAUUUGAAUCAGGUAUAUGCGCGUGAAAUAAUAUAUAUUUAUUUAUUUCCAACACCACUAUUCCUGUGCAGUAGAGUUACUCCCCUUUACGCGGAACUAUUACAUUGUUGUUACGGUGAAUUCGGGAGCGAUCUUUUGAGCAGUUUUACGGAUAUCCGUACGAUAAACACAGUAUUUGUUUGGCAGGAAGAGAAAUCGUCUCAUUUGGUAUCGAUGCAGAGAACAUGACUGACAAAGAUCUAUUGGACAGUGAUUAUGAUGGGAUUUCACAAAUACAUGAGCACAGUUACAUUGUGAUAUCGGACUCUGACCAGACACAACCACCUUCACCUUUUGGUUGACAGGAAUAUUCCAGUGAAAGAUCAGUUGUUUAACAGCCUUUUUGACAAACAGCAGAGGCGUAUCCAGAAAAUUUUCAGAGGGGGGGGCUCAACAGGGGAGUGUGCGGGAGGAGUGUCCCCUUCCGUCGUCGAAUUUUUUUUUAAAAUGGCACCUUGAAAUGAUGCGAUUUCCUGCUAUCUAAUCCGCAUUUUGCAUGAUAAAAGUGCAUGUGAAACAAAUAAAAACUUGAGUUCACACACCAAGUGUGACAGACACACGGACAGACAGACACACAGGGGUAAAUCAAAUGUCUCUCAAACCACUAAAGUGGUGGGAGACAUUAUCUUUAUCAAUAACUUUUUUAACGGAGUUAGAUGGGUGGACCUCCUAUUUAACCUUGUUGGAUAUCCUACCAGGUCAACUUAGGUACAACAUUAAAAUGUUUAUGUCCAUGUCCCUAUGAAUGGAAAGCAGGCACACAGCGGACAACCUGUCCUGACCCAUUGAUGAUCUUAGUUUUGUCUUAACAAGUCCUUGGGCACUGAUACUCCUUUCACACUCGCAUGAUGCGACAGGGAACACACAUGAUAUGGACAAAACAGUGUAAAUGGUGGGGUACAGCUGGGAAUCACAAUGUGCAACAGAGCCCUGAAGGGAAGUAGGUGGGUUGGGUACACCUUUCCACCUAGCCUGCCCUAAAAAGUGCAACUCGGCAGGGAGGGACUGAGGGGAAGGGAGAUCAUCAUUGAACCAUUCAAGGUCACCAGCACUGACGGAUGAGGAGCACAUUUGUUCAGAAUUCCUGGUGCUGCCAUUCCUAAUCAACCGACAUAUCAGAAUUUUGGAUAAGAAUUCAGAUUACUGGCUGCAUAUUCAACCGAAUUUUUGGGUCCUGGGUUGGUGGGGGGUAACGUGUUUCAGACCAGAAUCCUGCCGGACCAUCCAAUUGCAAGGACAUCUAACAUAGCUGAAAUGUAUCUGUAAUGAAUAAUUAAAAGUUUG